GACGAACGCUGGCGGCGUGCCUAAUACAUGCAAGUCGAGCGAACGGACGAGAAGCUUGCUUCUCUGAUGUUAGCGGCGGACGGGUGAGUAACACGUGGAUAACCUACCUAUAAGACUGGGAUAACUUCGGGAAACCGGAGCUAAUACCGGAUAAUAUUUUGAACCGCAUGGUUCAAAAGUGAAAGACGGUCUUGCUGUCACUUAUAGAUGGAUCCGCGCUGCAUUAGCUAGUUGGUAAGGUAACGGCUUACCAAGGCAACGAUGCAUAGCCGACCUGAGAGGGUGAUCGGCCACACUGGAACUGAGACACGGUCCAGACUCCUACGGGAGGCAGCAGUAGGGAAUCUUCCGCAAUGGGCGAAAGCCUGACGGAGCAACGCCGCGUGAGUGAUGAAGGUCUUCGGAUCGUAAAACUCUGUUAUUAGGGAAGAACAUAUGUGUAAGUAACUGUGCACAUCUUGACGGUACCUAAUCAGAAAGCCACGGCUAACUACGUGCCAGCAGCCGCGGUAAUACGUAGGUGGCAAGCGUUAUCCGGAAUUAUUGGGCGUAAAGCGCGCGUAGGCGGUUUUUUAAGUCUGAUGUGAAAGCCCACGGCUCAACCGUGGAGGGUCAUUGGAAACUGGAAAACUUGAGUGCAGAAGAGGAAAGUGGAAUUCCAUGUGUAGCGGUGAAAUGCGCAGAGAUAUGGAGGAACACCAGUGGCGAAGGCGACUUUCUGGUCUGUAACUGACGCUGAUGUGCGAAAGCGUGGGGAUCAAACAGGAUUAGAUACCCUGGUAGUCCACGCCGUAAACGAUGAGUGCUAAGUGUUAGGGGGUUUCCGCCCCUUAGUGCUGCAGCUAACGCAUUAAGCACUCCGCCUGGGGAGUACGACCGCAAGGUUGAAACUCAAAGGAAUUGACGGGGACCCGCACAAGCGGUGGAGCAUGUGGUUUAAUUCGAAGCAACGCGAAGAACCUUACCAAAUCUUGACAUCCUUUGACAACUCUAGAGAUAGAGCUUUCCCCUUCGGGGGACAAAGUGACAGGUGGUGCAUGGUUGUCGUCAGCUCGUGUCGUGGGAUGUUGGGUUAAGUCCCGCAACGAGCGCAACCCUUAAGCUUAGUUGCCAUCAUUAAGUUGGGCACUCUAAGUUGACUGCCGGUGACAAACCGGAGGAAGGUGGGGAUGACGUCAAAUCAUCAUGCCCCUUAUGAUUUGGGCUACACACGUGCUACAAUGGACAAUACAAAGGGCAGCGAAACCGUGAGGUCAAGCAAAUCCCAUAAAGUUGUUCUCAGUUCGGAUUGUAGUCUGCAACUCGACUACAUGAAGCUGGAAUCGCUAGUAAUCGUAGAUCAGCAUGCUACGGUGAAUACGUUCCCGGGUCU
rnacentral:rRNA from 1 species